GAACCUGGAAAUUCUUAAUCCCCCAUAUCCUCGUAGAAACCCUCGUAACCAAACAAAACCCUUUCCUCGAGCCAUCCCGCUCAUAUUCGAAGAAAGAAACGGCAACAAGCGGUUAGCAGACUCAGCACCACCACUGCAUAGUGCAUUUCCCCUUCUGAGAAGCAAAGCCGAACCGAAUCGGAUCCAGACCCAGACCAUCCGGUUAUGUUCCUUUUCGCAGUUCCCACCCUUCAAAAACCCAGCUUCCAACUCCACUUCGUUCCCGAUUCUUCCAUGUCCGCCCCGAAUUCCGAUGUCGUAAUCGUCAAAUGCACAACAACAAUCUCAUCCGAUAGCCAGAAGAUGACCCGAAAUUAACGGUGCAUGACAAGAAAAUUCUUUCUCAAGGACUUUGAUGACGGAAGGGCUGCUUGGUGAGGAUAGAAGGCUAGGUGAGGUUUGUUCAAAGAGAUCAUAUCAUACAGGCGUUGAUAUAUGCCCCUUCAUUUUCUUCUUCUGCAAUUUCUCUGCCAUAGUAUGUUUCCUUUCUUUGUCAAAUUCCUUGAUAUUUUGAUCCAUCUGAGCAGCUAGAAUUUGCAGUUAGUGUUUACCAUCACAGUGGCAUUAUGAUCGAUCUGUGUUGUAAGCCUCGUUAGAUAGUGAAAGAAAUGGUAGAAAGAGAACUGUUUGUAUUAUCACAAGAAUCAGAUUACAAAAUUACAAUGAGUUUAAUGACAGCAGGACUUUCCUUUGAGUGAA